rnacentral:rRNA from 1 species
GCAUAUCAAUAAGCGGAGGAAAAGAAACCAACAGGGAUUGCCUCAGUAACGGCGAGUGAAGCGGCAAGAGCUCAAAUUUGAAAGCUGGCUCCUUCGGGGUCCGCAUUGUAAUUUGCAGAGGAUGCUUCGGGAGUGGCCCCCAUCUAAGUGCCCUGGAACGGGCCGUCAUAGAGGGUGAGAAUCCCGUCUGGGAUGGGGUGUCCACGCCCGUGUGAAGCUCCUUCGACGAGUCGAGUUGUUUGGGAAUGCAGCUCUAAAUGGGUGGUAAAUUUCAUCUAAAGCUAAAUACUGGCCGGAGACCGAUAGCGCACAAGUAGAGUGAUCGAAAGAUGAAAAGCACUUUGAAAAGAGAGUUAAACAGCACGUGAAAUUGUUGAAAGGGAAGCGCUUGCGACCAGACUCGCCCACGGGGUUCAGCCGGCAUUCGUGCCGGUGUACUUCCCCGCGGGCGGGCCAGCGUCGGUUUGGGCGGCCGGUCAAAGGCCCUCGGAAUGUAACGCCCCCCGGGGCGUCUUAUAGCCGAGGGUGCCAUGCGGCCAGCCCGGACCGAGGAACGCGCUUCGGCUCGGACGCUGGCAUAAUGGUCGUAAGCGACCCGUCUUGAAACACGGACCAAGGAGUCUAACAUCUACGCGAGUGUUCGGGUGUCAAACCCGUGCGCGCAGUGAAAGCGAACGGAGGUGGGAACCCCUCGGGGUGCACCAUCGACCGAUCCUGAUGUCUUCGGAUGGAUUUGAGUAAGAGCGUAGCUGUUGGGACCCGAAAGAUGGUGAACUAUGCCUGAAUAGGGCGAAGCCAGAGGAAACUCUGGUGGAGGCUCGCAGCGGUUCUGACGUGCAAAUCGAUCGUCAAAUUUGGGUAUAGGGGCGAAAGACUAAUCGAACCAUCUAGUAGCUGGUUCCUGCCGA